ACCUCUGCCUAGGAUCAGCCACCGCUAGCCAUGAGCACUUCGCUAAAUUUGCUUUGUACUCUUAUUGUGCUAACGAGAGCGGGAUUCAAGAAACUCCUCCCCGAUGCAAAAUAAGAGAAAAAGGAGACGGAAGAAAGACAGAGGAAAAAAGAAGAAAUGAGUGACGAAAGACACGAAGAACUGACUGCUAUUUCCUUCUAACCACCAGACGAGAGAAAUGUUCCUUUGUGGGCCGUCAUGCUACGAAGUGAAAGGCUCGCACUGAAAUGUCACGCAAGGAAUUCUUAGCCAUUAGUCACAGAAAUCCAAAAUUCGCAAUACUUUUCAAGAAGCAUAACGUGCCAAGGACGGUCAGUCAACCACAGCGCCAACUUUCUCCCGACACACACAUACUUCCCCGCUCCGACGUCGAACACGCGAGUAGCGAAGGAGAAUCUUACAUCCACGACGCUAAUAAGAUCCUCAUCUCCGGGUGUUGGAGGAGGACAAUGGCGACGACAGCUCCUUCGGAUACGCCAGUCGGAUGCUGAAGCUGGGGAGAUGAAUCUGUAAAUGCUAAAUUACGCGGCAUGAUUUGACUGCAAGUGUGACUGAGAACAAAGGUACAGGCGGAAAGCACUUAAGAAUAUCAAGAUGAAAUUAACAUUAAACACUUUAUGUUAACACCGCAGCAGCACGCGAACAUGCAAA